UACGUAGGGUGCAAGCGUUAAUCGGAAUUACUGGGCGUAAAGCGUGCGCAGGCGGUUGUGCAAGACAGAUGUGAAAUCCCCGGGCUUAACCUGGGAAUUGCAUUUGUGACUGCACGUCUAGAGUGUGUCAGAGGGGGGUAGAAUUCCACGUGUAGCAGUGAAAUGCGUAGAUAUGUGGAGGAAUACCGAUGGCGAAGGCAGCCCCCUGGGAUAACACUGACGCUCAUGCACGAAAGCGUGGGGAGCAAACAGG
rnacentral:rRNA from 1 species